rnacentral:lncRNA from 1 species
GUUUACAAGAAGCCCAGUACUGAUGGUAGUCAAGACACAGAAGUAGAUCAUUCGGUUGGCUUUGCAAGACUAAGUUGUACUUGGAGCUACCAAAACCAGGUUUGAUAAAAGCAGGAAAAAAAAUAGAAGUGAAAAGAGGAAAGAAGAAAAGAAGAAAUGAAAAGAAGACAAGCAAAUACAUCCUGCAUGAAGAGCAGGUCACUGGAAGAGUGAGAAGACGGUGGCAAUGAGGCCAAUGGCCACAAUCUUAUAUACCCUUCUUCUAAGAACAGAUCUAGACCAGAAGCUGUUCUGCUCCUGUAAUCUGACAGCUGUCUGCGAUUGACAGGUCAUGCCCUAUUGUCCAGCCUCCUUGUCAGGCCCUAAUCUCCUACAUCAAUAGGUAACACCUUGGUGUCAUUUAGAGACUGUUUGUCAGUUUUACAGGUCCCAAAAGUUUGUCACUUUAUCUGAAUUGAUAUGACUGUGAGACAGAUGUACAGGUAAUUGAAGUAAAUCUAUUUGCUAACUUACUUCAGGAAAGAACACAGCA